CUCUGCUACAUUUUUCUGCCAGGCGGAAUUGGCAGGAAGAUCUUACUCCUGUAGAAUUGAAAUAAUUGCAAACUAAAGACAGCUUCUACUUAAAUUAGAAAUUGUUUUGCACUCUACCAUCUCAAAAGUUCAGAACAUGUGGCUAUGCAGAUGUUGAUGAAAAUGCCACAUGACCAAUUUAUGGUUCUUCUGCCCCGUUUGCAUUCUUGGAUGAUUGUAGUGAGUCAAGCUGCAUUGUUACUGGUCCAUCGUUAGCUAGAUUAACCUUCAUCAUUGCUCCAAAUACACCAUCUUUUAUGGCAUCUGGCCUGUAUGAUUUCCUAAAUUUUUCGACUAAUGAAUCAUAGAAUGGUUUUGCUUUCUGGGGUGGCAUCGCUACAUGGAAGUCUGGCUUGUUUCCCUUCAAGAUUCCAUACAAUGUAAACUGACUCACUAGCAAAACUCCAUAAUUUUUCUGCAUAACAUUCUGGUCCCAGCCUCUUCCAGUAGUUUCAUUUGGGAACAAUCUCAUAUUUAAUACCUUCCGGCAUAUAUAAUCGGCAUCAGAAUCGGUGUCGGACUC
rnacentral:misc_RNA from 1 species